rnacentral:rRNA from 1 species
GACGAAGGGGGCUAGCGUUGUUCGGAAUUACUGGGCGUAAAGCGCGUGUAGGCGGUUGUUCAAGUCAGGUGUGAAAGCCUUGAGCUCAACUCAAGAAAUGCACUUGAUACUGGAUGACUAGAGGACCGGAGAGGAUAGUGGAAUUCCCAGUGUAGUGGUGAAAUUUGAUAAAAUUAGAGAGAAUACCAAUGGCGUAAGCAACGAUCUGGUCCUUAACUGAUACUGAGGUGCGAAGGUAUGGGGAGCGAAUAGG